GAUGAACGCUAGCGGCAGGCUUAACACAUGCAAGUCGAGGGGUAUAGGUUUUCGGACCUAGAGACCGGCGCACGGGUGCGUAACGCGUAUGCAAUCUACCUUUCACAGAGGGAUAGCCCAGAGAAAUUUGGAUUAAUACCUCAUAGUAUAGCAGUUUCGCAUGAAACAACUAUUAAAGUUCCAACGGUGAAAGAUGAGCAUGCGUCCCAUUAGCUAGAUGGUAAGGUAACGGCUUACCAUGGCUACGAUGGGUAGGGGUCCUGAGAGGGAGAUCCCCCACACUGGUACUGAGACACGGACCAGACUCCUACGGGAGGCAGCAGUGAGGAAUAUUGGUCAAUGGACGCAAGUCUGAACCAGCCAUGCCGCGUGCAGGAUGACGGUCCUAUGGAUUGUAAACUGCUUUUGUACGAGAAGAAACAACAUUACGCGUAAUGUCUUGACGGUAUCGUAAGAAUAAGGAUCGGCUAACUCCGUGCCAGCAGCCGCAGUAACAC
rnacentral:rRNA from 1 species